GUGGGGAAUCUUCCGCAAUGGACGAAAGUCUGACGGAGCAACGCCGCGUGAGUGAUGAAGGUCUUCGGAUUGUAAAACUCUGUUGUCAGGGACGAAUGUGCGAAUGUUGAAUAAGCAUUUGUAUUGACGGUACCUGACGAGGAAGCCACGGCUAACUACGUGCCAGCAGCCGCGGUAAUACGUAGGUGGCAAGCGUUGUCCGGAAUUAUUGGGCGUAAAGAGCAUGUAGGCGGGCUUUUAAGUCCGACGUGAAAAUGCGGGGCUUAACCCCGUAUGGCGUUGGAUACUGGAAGUCUUGAGUGCAGGAGAGGAAAGGGGAAUUCCCAGUGUAGCGGUGAAAUGCGUAGAUAUUGGGAGGAACACCAGUGGCGAAGGCGCCUUUCUGGACUGUGUCUGACGCUGAGAUGCGAAAGCCAGGGUAGCAAACGGGAUUAGAAACCCGGGUAGUCC
rnacentral:rRNA from 1 species